CAGUCGCCGCGGUAAUACGAAGGGUGCAAGCGUUAAUCGGAAUUACUGGGCGUAAAGCGCACGUAGGCGGCUUGGUAAGUUAGAGGUGAAAGCCUGGAGCUCAACUCCAGAAUUGCCUUUAAGACUGCCGAGCUAGCAGGUGAGAGAGGUAAGUGGAAUUCCGAGUGUAGAGGUGAAAUUCGUAGAUAUUCGGAAGAACACCAGUGGCGAAGGCGGCUUACUGGCUCAUACUGGACGCUGAGGUGCGAAAGCGUGGGGAGCAAACAGGAUUAGAUACCCCUGUAGUCCCUGUCUCUUAUAC
rnacentral:rRNA from 1 species